UUUUUUGGUUGGGCACACUCCAUGUGACCAUAACGACAAUGAGAACAGUCCUUCGUUCCCACUGAACCAGACAGUUCUGGAAGCUGAGAAGACAUCGUCACAACACCACCUUGCAGAGUCCAGCACUUCAGGAUUCUGAAGGAUGUUCGCAGCCUGUUCAGCGUUAUCCUUGACAUCCCCAGAGGUGUGCUUCCUGCUGCUCUGCUGAGACCAAACCCAGAGAGGGGCUCCCUGCCCUCUGGAAUCCAGGAAGGGCCCAGAUGCACUGGCCUCGAAUUAAAGAUUGAACGUGAACUCACCUGUGGCGCUGGUACCUGGUCACCUGGCCAGUGACUCCGUGGUCACUCACAGACUCACUCUGUCAUUUAUCUGAGUAGCUAGCUACUGGGUGCUCUAUUCCAUUUCGAGAGAAAAGGAAUAGAUCAAGCCUGUCCUCCGUGGAAAGACAAGAACUGAGAUCAAGAAUACUUAGAGGCAAAAAAAAAAAAAAAUACUUAGAGGCAGUCUGUCGAUGACAGGAA